rnacentral:rRNA from 1 species
UACAGAGGGUGCAAGCGUUGUUCGGAAUUAUUGGGCGUAAAGCGCUGGUAGGUGGCUUGUUAAGUCGCGUGUGAAAGCUUCCGGCUCAACCGGAAAAGUGCGCGCGAAACUGGCGAGCUUGAGUGCCGGAGAGGGUCGCGGAAUUCCCAGUGUAGAGGUGAAAUUCGUAGAUAUCGGGAGGAACACCAGUGGCGAAGGCGGCGACCUGGACGGACACUGACGCUGAGACGCGAAAGCGUGGGGAGCAAACAGG